GGAAGGAUCGCAUAGUGGUCGAGUGCGCUCGCUUGGAAAGCGGGUAAGGUGUAAAAGCCUUCGAGGGUUCAAAUCCCUCUCCUUCCGCCA
rnacentral:tRNA from 1 species